rnacentral:rRNA from 1 species
GACGAACGCUGGCGGCGUGCCUAAUACAUGCAAGUCGAACGAACUCUGGUAUUGAUUGGUGCUUGCAUCAUGAUUUACAUUUGAGUGAGUGGCGAACUGGUGAGUUACACGUGGGAAACCUGCCCAGAAGCGGGGGAUAACACCUGGAAACAGAUGCUAAUACCGCAUAACAACUUGGACCGCAUGGUCCGAGUUUGAAAGAUGGCUUCGGCUAUCACUUUUGGAUGGUCCCGCGGCGUAUUAGCUAGAUGGUGGGGUAACGGCUCACCACGGCAAAGAUACGUAGCCGACCUGAGAGGGUAAUCGGCCACAUUGGGACUGAGACACGGCCCAAACUCCUACGGGAGGCAGCAGUAGGGAAUCUUCCACAAUGGACGAAAGUCUGAUGGAGCAACGCCGCGUGAGUGAAGAAGGGUUUCGGCUCGUAAAACUCUGUUGUUAAAGAAGAACAUAUCUGAGAGUAACUGUUCAGGUAUUGACGGUAUUUAACCAGAAAGCCACGGCUAACUACGUGCCAGCAGCCGCGGUAAUACGUAGGUGGCAAGCGUUGUCCGGAUUUAUUGGGCGUAAAGCGAGCGCAGGCGGUUUUUUAAGUUUGAUGUGAAAGCCUUCGGCUCAACCGAAGAAGUGCAUCGGAAACUGGGAAACUUGAGUGCAGAAGAGGACAGUGGAACUCCAUGUGUAGCGGUGAAAUGCGUAGAUAUAUGGAAGAACACCAGUGGCGAAGGCGGCUGUCUGGUCUGUAACUGACGCUGAGGCUCGAAAGUAUGGGUAGCAAACAGGAUUAGAUACCCUGGUAGUCCAUACCGUAAAUGAUGAAUGCUAAGUGUUGGAGGGUUUCCGCCCUUCAGUGCUGCAGCUAACGCAUUAAGCAUUCCGCCUGGGGAGUACGGCCGCAAGGCUGAAACUCAAAGGAAUUGACGGGGGCCCGCACAAGCGGUGGAGCAUGUGGUUUAAUUCGAAGCUACGCGAAGAACCUUACCAGGUCUUGACAUACUAUGCAAAUCUAAGAGAUUAGACGUUCCCUUCGGGGACAUGGAUACAGGUGGUGCAUGGUUGUCGUCAGCUCGUGUCGUGAGAUGUUGGGUUAAGUCCCGCAACGAGCGCAACCCUUAUUAUCAGUUGCCAGCAUUAAGUUGGGCACUCUGGUGAGACUGCCGGUGACAAACCGGAGGAAGGUGGGGAUGACGUCAAAUCAUCAUGCCCCUUAUGACCUGGGCUACACACGUGCUACAAUGGAUGGUACAACGAGUUGCGAACUCGCGAGAGUAAGCUAAUCUCUUAAAGCCAUUCUCAGUUCGGAUUGUAGGCUGCAACUCGCCUACAUGAAGUCGGAAUCGCUAGUAAUCGCGGAUCAGCAUGCCGCGGUGAAUACGUUCCCGGGCCUUGUACACACCGCCCGUCACACCAUGAGAGUUUGUAACACCCAAAGUCGGUGGGGUAACCUUUUAGGAACCAGCCGCCUAAGGUGGGACAGAUGAUUAGGGUGAAGUCGUAACAAGGUAGCCGUAG